GACGAACGCUGGCGGCGUGCUUAACACAUGCAAGUCGAACGGAAAGGCCCUGCUUUUGUGGGGUGCUCGAGUGGCGAACGGGUGAGUAACACGUGAGUAACCUGCCCUUGACUUUGGGAUAACUUCAGGAAACUGGGGCUAAUACCGGAUAGGAGCUCCUGCUGCAUGGUGGGGGUUGGAAAGUUUCGGCGGUUGGGGAUGGACUCGCGGCUUAUCAGCUUGUUGGUGUGGUAGUGGCUUACCAAGGCUUUGACGGGUAGCCGGCCUGAGAGGGUGACCGGCCACAUUGGGACUGAGAUACGGCCCAGACUCCUACGGGAGGCAGCAGUGGGGAAUAUUGCACAGUGGGCGGAAGCCUGAUGCAGCAACGCCGCGUGCGGGAUGACGGCCUUCGGGUUGUAAACCGCUUUCGCAUGUGACGAAGCGUGAGUGACGGUAAUGGGUAAAGAAGCACCGGCUAACUACGUG
rnacentral:rRNA from 1 species